UACAGAGGUGGCAAGCGUUGUUCGGAAUUACUGGGCGUAAAGGGCGCGUAGGCGGCCCACUAAGUCAGACGUGAAAUCCCCCGGCUUAAACCUGGGAACUCGCGUCUGAUACUGGAGGGCUUGAGUAUGGGAGAGGGAUGUAGAAUUCCAGGUGUAGCGGUGAAAUGCGUAGAUAUCUGGAGGAAUACCGGUGGCGAAGGCGGCAUCC
rnacentral:rRNA from 1 species